GUGGCUGUAGCUUAGUUGGUUCAAAGCGCCUCCCUGUGGAGGAGGAGAUCGGGAGUUCAAAUCUCCUCAGCCACCCA
rnacentral:tRNA from 1 species